AGUGAACGCUGGCGGUAGGCCUAACACAUGCAAGUCGAACGGCAGCACAGUAAGAGCUUGCUCUUACGGGUGGCGAGUGGCGGACGGGUGAGGAAUACAUCGGAAUCUACUUUUUCGUGGGGGAUAACGUAGGGAAACUUACGCUAAUACCGCAUACGACCUACGGGUGAAAGCAGGGGAUCUUCGGACCUUGCGCGAUUGAAUGAGCCGAUGUGGGAUUAGCUAGUUGGGGGGGUAAAGGCCCACCAAGGCGACGAUCCGUAGCUGGUCUGAGAGGAGGAUCAGCCACACUGGAACUGAGACACGGUCCAGACUCCUACGGGAGGCAGCAGUGGGGAAUAUUGGACAAUGGGCGCAAGCCUGAUCCAGCCAUACCGCGUGGGUGAAGAAGGCCUUCGGGUUGUAAAGCCCUUUUGUUGGGAAAGAAAAGCAGCAGGUUAAUACCCCGCUGUUCUGACGGUACCCAAAGAAUAAGCACCGGCUAACUUCGUG
rnacentral:rRNA from 1 species